CAUAAACUAGAUCAUUCAUUUCUCAUCCUCUAUCACAAAAAAAAAGUGGAAAAUUGGUAAUAUUAAUGCACUUUACCAUUGACACCGGCGUUUGCAGCUCGUAAACAACAACAUGGAAAAUAAUGCCAAAAGCCCGUUGAGAUCUUCUCUUCCAAAAUCGGCGAAAUAAAACAACCAAAUUAUAAUCCCGAAGACCCAACGCAGGCUGCGCUGCCUGCGUCGAUGCCACAGAGAGUGAGAGUCUCGAGGCUCGGAACUCGAAACGAAGCCGAUUCUUCGUGCCUUCCGAGACUCUUCGGAGACUCGUCUUUGGAGGCGGUGUCUUAGUAGGUGAGGUCGGCUCACAAGUUUCGAUUUCAUUCGGCUCUUCUUAAGGCCCGAUCGUCGCAGGUUCGUGUGUUCGGUUGCAUUCGCUGUGGCUAUUUUUAGACAGGUUCCAAAGCCACGUUUUCUAACUGUUGUUAGCGUACGAGCCGAGAUCGCGGACUCUGGAGAUGCCGAGCUCUCGGGCUCUCGAGCUGGAAGCCCCAGACAAAACGUGAGAUCGCUGGAUCGCCCGACUGCUGCGUCGACAGCGACGUCAACUACACAGAGCAAAAAUAUUGUUGUUUAUAAAUUUUAAAAAUUUGUUGAUCUUUUAAUUGAAAGGAAAAUGGAACUUAAGAUAGCAAAAGUCACUUCUCUAAACAUUUUUAGGGUAUUUUAUAACUUUUCUUAAAAUAUCUUCGAGGUAUUUUUUAAAAUAAAUAUUUAAAUGUGA